rnacentral:rRNA from 1 species
UACGGAGGGGGCUAGCGUUGUUCGGAAUUACUGGGCGUAAAGCGUGUGCAGGCGGGCUGUCAAGUCGCGUGUGAAAGCCCCCGGCUCAACUGGGGAGGGUCACGCGAUACUGAUCGACUCGAAGGCAGGAGAGGGUAGUGGAAUUCCCGGUGUAGUGGUGAAAUGCGUAGAUAUCGGGAGGAACACCAGUGGCGAAGGCGACUACCUGGCCUGUUUCUUGACGCUGAGGCGCGAAAGCUAGGGGAGCAAACGGG